CGCGGCCUAUCAGCUUGUUGGUGAGGUAACGGCUCACCAAGGCAUCGACGGGUAGCUGGUCUGAGAGGACGAUCAGCCACACUGGGACUGAGACACGGCCCAGACUCCUACGGGAGGCAGCAGUAGGGAAUCUUGCGCAAUGGGGGCAACCCUGACGCAGCAACGCCGCGUGUGGGAUGACGGCUUUCGGGUUGUAAACCACUUUCAGUGAUGACGAAAAUGACGGUAAUCACAGAAGAAGGUCCGGCCAACUACGUGCCAGCAGCCGCGGUAACACGUAGGGACCAAGCGUUGUCCGGAUUUAUUGGGCGUAAAGAGCUCGUAGGCGGUUCUGUAAGUCGGAUGUGAAAACUCAGGGCUCAACCCUGAGACGCCAUCUGAUACUGCAGUGACUAGAGUCCGGUAGAGGAAGAUGGAAUUCCUGGUGUAGCGGUGGAAUGCGCAGAUAUCAGGAGGAACACCAAUGGCGAAGGCAGUCUUCUGGGCCGGUACUGACGCUGAGGAGCGAAAGCAUGGGGAGCAAACAGGAUUAGAUACCCUGGUAGUCCACGCCGUAAACGGUGGGAACUAGAUGUGGGGUCCGUUCCACGGAUUCCGUGUCGCAGCUAACGCAUUAAGUGCCCCGCCUGGGGAGUACGG
rnacentral:rRNA from 1 species